UCCCAUGUACGGCGGAGCCUGGUAGGCUACUGUCCAUGGGGUUGCAAAGAGUGGGACACGACUGAGUGAAGGGAAGAUUGUGUUAGGAUGAUGGGAUUAGCAGGGCUUUAAAAGGGGCUUCCUAGUAGCUCAGAAGGUAAGGAAUCUGCCUACAAUGCAGGACCCUGGGUUCAAUCCUUGGGUUAGGAAGAUCCCCUGGAGAAGAGAAUGGAAACCCACUCCAGUAUUCUAGCUUGGAGAAUUCCAUGGACAGACGAGGCUGGGAAGGCUACAGGGUGGCUCUUGUUCCUCCUGCAGAGGACAGUCUCCCCUGGAAGCUUCACAACCAGCGUUUGAGACGCUUUUGCUCCCAGCCCCAAGCCGUCGUGCGGAAGAGCUUCUGUGAGCUGUGCCCAUGCCCUGGUAUUUGCAGAGAAAAUCCGGAUCCUAGUCAGGCCGCCCAGAUUUUCCCCAGAGAUUGUGAGGUCAAGUAUUCUUCAGAUCAGGGUAGGGGGGCCUGACUUGCAUAAAAUAAAAUAAAAUUUUUUUAAACCGCAAUUUUUAAAAAAAAACCCUGCUCUGCCACAUCUUCCCGUGAUUCCACUUCGAAUUCGAGACUUACAUCUACAGCCUGUGGUAUCAAAAUUACCAUCCCAGCCAUCUUCCCUGCUUGGCUGGGAGCUCCUUGGGAGUCGAAACUGUAUCUUUUACUUCUCCGUCUCAUUAAAACUCGGCUUGGG